rnacentral:rRNA from 1 species
GUGCCAGCAGCCGCGGUAAUACGUAUGUCACAAGCGUUAUCCGGAUUUAUUGGGCGUAAAGCGCGUCUAGGUGGUUAUGUAAGUCUGAUGUGAAAAUGCAGGGCUCAACUCUGUAUUGCGUUGGAAACUGUGUAACUAGAGUACUGGAGAGGUAAGCGGAACUACAAGUGUAGAGGUGAAAUUCGUAGAUAUUUGUAGGAAUGCCGAUGGGGAAGCCAGCUUACUGGACAGAUACUGACGCUGAAGCGCGAAAGCGUGGGUAGCAAACAGGAUUAGAUACCCUGGUAGUCCACGCCGUAAACGAU